UCCAUGUUUCGUGCCAGUCCGCCCGUUGUCCUGAAUCCACAGCUGGUGUGAUGAACCGUGACAUCUGCUCCACAGCUUCUCUUGUUUCUUCAUGUUAGUGAUGCGAGGCCACAAUGUCGUUCCCACUCAUUGAUAACUGGUGGCCACCAGUUAUUAAUGAGUGGGAACGAGUUAUUUUUAUUUCUGGGCUCUGUAGGUUGAACAGAACCCUGCAGCGUUUCAUGUUCUAAUGCAGCACCUGUAUAGAAACAGGACCGGACGGAGCGUUGAAGGAUUGUUUUCUGUUGUGUGACCCAAAUGCACCUCCUGCAGUAAACCUGGACCACUCCUCCUCCUCAGGAUGAAGGUUUGUGGUCCAGGCCUCCAUGUUCUGAAUCAUCUGCUUCAGCUGCUGCAGACGCAUGACAGAGGUUUUAAUCCGUUAAAUGAGAAAAGUUCUGGAUGUGAUUCUGUUGUUUCUGGACGACUUUAAACCAGGAAAACAACAAACUGUGACUCUUACAGGUUUCUGAUAUUUACUGUUAAUGAGGAAUUAAAUCUGGAUUAAGAACAAGUCGGAACGUCACAUUCAGGAAAAACUCUUCGAUCCACAACAAAACGCUGAACAGAAUCAGAACCAGGCUGAAAUGAUGUCAGUGGUCGUGGACUUUAUUCACUUGUUUUCAGAAAGUUUUACUUUUGUGAGUCAAUAAAGGAAGAAAAGCACAAAAUAAGACUCAAAACGACAAAAGUCAGACACAGAAGAACAGAAUCGACUCAUCAUGACAACAUGAUCUCUGGAUGAAAUAUUCAACUUCUUUUAACAUCUUUUUGUUCAUGGAUUCUAAUAUUUAAAAUAAGAACAAGUUACUUUCAGAUGAACACAUAAAAUUCUCCAAACAGUCGAUCAGAUCAGAGUCAGGCUGAAUUUUCUCAGAAUAUUAAUGAUUUUAUUCUCCUUAAACCUCCAUAAACCACCACAGAGACCAAGCGCCGGACGCUCAGACGGUUUCCUACAGUCUGGUUCUUGUAUCGUUGCUUUAAAGUGCAGCUUAAACAUCAUUUUCAUCACUAACGCGUCUGCAGAGUUUAUUUUCAGUUCAUCACUAAAUCUUCUAUGAAGCAUCAGAAAACUGGACGAUUUGCAGCUUCUGACGGUUUAACAAAGACAAACCUGGAAACGUGAAGCGAUGACUGGACUGUCACCAAUCAACCUGCAGUGAACUGACUCUGAUGAGCUGCAGGAAGCUGAUGAAGGUUAAAACAUCACAGAGACACAAAACAACCACAACAGACUGAGAAACACACAGUGUGACAGGAAACGGGUCCAGAUGUGAGACGUUUGUCGACCCGGUGAGGACGGACAGCCUUUAGGUUUCUACAGUCAGACAUGAAUAAAGACUCGACCCUGAUCCAUUAAAGUCUCCGUCCUGUUAGUCUGCUGUUUGUCCACAUGGUGGCGCUGCAGUCUGCCGCUGCAGGUAGUUUAGUUCUGAGCUGGUUCCUGCAGCAGUUUGUUCAGACUGCAGGUUUUCUGUUUCUGUGACAAACUGAACCAACGUCCAGAGAAAUCGACGACUUAACGAGUUCAUGGAGCGAAGACGAAGAUCUACUGGUGGAGUCUGAUCCUGAACACCACCUCCUGGACCAAAAAUAUCCACAUCUGAGGAGCUGAAAGUUUACUUAUUUAAAUAAAAGAUCAUAAAAUAAAAUAACUGAUUGACAUGUCA